CCUACGGGAGGCAGCAGUCGAGAAUCAUUCACAAUGGGGGAAACACUGAUGGUGCGACGCCGCGUGGGGGAAUGAAGGUCUUCGGAUGGUAAACCCCUGUCAUGUGGGAGCAAAUUAAAAAGAUAGUACCACAAGAGGAAGAGACGGCUAACUCUGUGCCAGCAGCCGCGGUAAUAAAGAGGUAUCAAGCGUUGUUCGGAACCACUGGGCGUAAAGCGUGCGUAGGCUGUUUCGUAAGUCGUGUUUGAAAGGCGCGGGCUCAACCCGCGGACGGCACAUGAUACUGCGAGACUAGAGUAAUGGAGGGGGAACCGGAAUUCUCGGUGUAGCAGUGAAAUGCGUAGAUAUCGAGAGGAACACUCGUGGCGAAGGCGGGUUCCUGGACAUUAACUGACGCUGAGGCACGAAGGCCAGGGGAGCGAAAGGGAUUAGAUACCCUAGUAGUC
rnacentral:rRNA from 1 species